rnacentral:rRNA from 1 species
UACGGGGGGGGCAAGCGUUGUUCGGAAUUACUGGGCGUAAAGGGCUCGUAGGCGGCCAACUAAGUCAGACGUGAAAUCCCCAGGCUCAACCUGGGAACUGCGUCUGAUACUGGAUGGCUUGAAUUCGGGAGAGGGAUGCAGAAUUCCAGGUGUAGCGGUGAAAUGCGUAGAUAUCUGGAGGAAUACCGGUGGCGAAGGCGGCAUCCUGGACCGACAUUGACGCUGAUGAGCGAAAGCUAGGGGAGCGAAUGGG